rnacentral:lncRNA from 1 species
CUACAAUUGAUGAUCAAGAAUUGAAUACCGAUGAAUGGACCGAAACAAUCAACGUCAACGACGUACCAGUUAACUUUCAGCUAGACACAGGUUCAAAGUGCAACGUACUUUCGCUACACAAACGGAAAACCAUUUGUUCGCAUCCUAUCACAACAAAACAACUAUCGCCACUCCUUUCAUACUCAGGACACAUCAUUGACACUGUUGGAGUAAUCAAUCUGAGGUGUAGUUAUAAAUGCCAAGAUCAUGCCGUGCAAUCUCACAUUGUAGAUCGUAAUGUAGAAUCUGUCAUAGGUGCCAAAACGUGAGAAGCGAUGAAACUCCUAAAGCGCAUACAAAUUGAAUAUCACUCAUACAAGCAAUUCGCAAGAAACGACAAAACCAUUGUUACCAGAAAAAAUGGCACAACAAUAUGGAAAUUUAUACACAGGCCUAGGAUGUCUACCUGGAACACAUAAGAUACGUAUCAACAAU